GCGUCCUUGGAGAACAGGGCUAAAUGGUGACUUGUGGACCAGGGACUGCAGACCUUGGCCUCUCAGAAUGACAUUAGUCCUCCCUCCUAUUCACAAGGGUCGGAUUACAUCUGAAGAUGUCAAAGUUCAAGCCAACCAUACAGCCUCUCAGCUAGAGCCCGCUCAGCAUAACAGCCACAACUCCUAGAAGACCCCAAGUUCACCCCAGAGGCCAGUGUCUUGUGACCCUCCUGCCACAGAGUCAUCAUGGUGUAGCUCAUGCAAUACUUCUGCUUUUCAGGACCAGGGAAAGCAGAGAUAGCCCUGUGAACGCUGGCAAAGAACUCAUUGAAUCAUUGUUGGCAGGGAGGUUAAUUGGAUACAGAUGUAAGCUUGUUCCUGGGACAGGUAUGUUAAUAGGAGCUAAAACUUCUGAGAAACCUCGGCGCUGGAGGGAGAGAUUAAUUCAUCAGAGUCCAAGGUCACAGUGAAACAGCACCCAGAGAGCACCCAUCGACAACUCUGACUUCUCACCUCCUCACUACCAGUGCCCUGUGGUUCCCAACAAAUUCCUGCCCCUGAGGACCUAGGAAAUAGCGCUGUGCAAGGCUGGUCUCGGAAUCACUGAUGGAAGCUUUGCUGUGAUCCUGUGUGGGGUAUCAUCUCAGCUUAGGAGACUGAGGAACUCGAGGUUUGCUAAAUGAGAUGAGAUUUGUCCCAGUUGGCAGUGAGAGGCUCUACAAGGACCCUGACUUCAGUCUCGGAUUCAUUCUAGCCUGGACCACAGAAUGGCCAGGAAGACGUUCUCUCGCUGUCCACUAGGAGGCGCCAGUUCUCCCUGUUGGUACCAAAUGCCGUCGGGACCCUCAGCCAGAGUGGCUUUCUUUGGUUUCUAAGCUAGCUGGCCUGCUAGCCCUCGGGUUAAGGUCCAGAGGCACAACAAUCCUUCCCUUCAGUUUCCAGGGGUCAGAGAAAUGGUAGGGAGGGUAUGAAAUCCACAAGGACCGGGAGCCGAUUAUCACCCGCCUCAGUUCUCAUGGGAACCCCAAUGUGUUAGAUCAGAGUGGAGUCAGCUAUAAAUGGCAGAGGCUCAGAAAGGCUUGGUAACUGGAGGUCACAGACCAAGACUGUGGCAUUCAGGGGCAGGAGAGUGCUGGUCUCCAGGCCUGCAAACCAGAAUGGUGACAGAAUGGUAAAAUACUACACAGAGUGCUCCAGUUAUGUCUCAAAAGUGAUGAGCUGAGGGGCGCACAUGAUACAAGGCUGGAGCAGCCAGCAGGGUGUGUGCGUGGUAAGGGUCUCCCUGGUGUGGGUGCUUCUCUCUGGGACAUUGGCACAGUGAGGGGGACACAGGAUGGCUUUGGAAAAUCCCAGGCUUCCCAGGCAGGUGACAGAACCAGCUCUCCCAGCCAGACCCAGCAACGUGGAGGCCAGAGCCACCUGACUCUAACUAUAAAUAGAGAGAUGACGGAAGGCUCCGGAAGCCCAAGGGAGGCCAGAGAAAGGGAGUCUGAUGCUCCCUAGAGACUGAGGAAGAUACACAUACAAGGCACCCUUCUGUAGUGUGCCUUCAAGGUCAGCUAGGAGUCCUGCAGAGGGCUGAGGAGGGGACUCUUGGCAGGCACUGGCUCAGAGGGUGGGGCAGAGGUGAGCAGAGCUGUGACAGAUGACAGGUCCCAAAGGCCAAGGGGCUUUGGAAGCCAGAGGGAAGGCUUUGUGCUUCGUGCAGAGUCGCGCUCUUACAGGACUUCUGGCAGCGUGUUGGAGAACGGGAUGAAUGUCCAAGAACAAGAAAGGCAUAAGAACAAAGAGCGAGUGAUUCAAGGCCGCUGGGGGGCACAGUGCCAGGAAACACAGCCAGCCUUCCUGUGGAACAGAGGCAGAUUAUGGGAUGCCGGAGGCUGCCGGCUGGCUCCAAGUGUGUUCCCCACCGAACUCCUGAUGCUGAGCCGGACACAAAGUCACCUGAAAUGAAGAUGGCAGAUCCAGCAUAUCCCUGAGUUCCUCUUAAGAUAUCUAUAGUCCUUCUGUGAUGUAUAAACCUCUUGUUUCUUCUUUGCUGUGCUUUAAUGUGCACGUGCUUGUUGGAACUGGAGCAGCCGUUUGGGACCAAGAAACAAGUACUAAUAUAGGUACCCGCGUGUGGGACUGCCAUACCAGCCCUGAAGUAGAUA
rnacentral:lncRNA from 1 species